UCUUUAGUGGUAUAGCGGUUAGUAUUUGUGCCUGUCAUGAGCCUUAACUUGAGAUUGCGUGAGACCAGUGUUCAAUUCCCUGCUUGAGGA